rnacentral:rRNA from 1 species
GAGACGCUGGCGGCGUGCUUAACACAUGCAAGUCGAACGAGAAUCUGUGGAAAGAGGAUUCGUCCAAUUGAAGCAGAGGACAGUGGCGGACGGGUGAGUAACGCGUGAGGAACCUGCCUUUCAGAGGGGGACAACAGUUGGAAACGACUGCUAAUACCGCAUGACACAUCGGGGUCGCAUGGCUCUGAUGUCAAAGAUUUAUCGCUGAAAGAUGGCCUCGCGUCUGAUUAGCUAGUUGGUGAGGUAACGGCCCACCAAGUCUACGAUCAGUAGCCGGACUGAGAGGUUGAACGGGCCACAUUGGGACUGAGAUACGGCCCAGACUCCUACGGGAGGCAGCAGUGGGGAAUAUUGGGCAAUGGGGGAAACCCUGACCCAGCAACGCCGCGUGAAGGAAGAAGGCUUUCGGGUUGUAAACUUCUUUUGUCAGGGACGAGUAGAAGACGGUACCUGACGAAUAAGCCACGGCUAACUACGUG